CUUCAGUUCUUUUCUAAAUCCAGGAAUGGGGUUGGGACCUGAACAACCUGUCUAAUACUUUUCAGGCCCUGUUUCUGUGACCUGACAAGGUUUCAUGAACUUGUUCAACUAAAUGGUGGUCUAGUCCAAAUCGAGCAGUGAAUAUGAAUGUUGAAGAAUUUGAGAGUCUAGACUUCACUGGGUAGUCAAAGUUGGUAAAAGAAAUGUACUGUAUGGCAUACCAAAACUUCUCUAAGAGCAUUUGCACUUCUUGUAAUCGAAAAUUUAGCAAGACGUGCAAUCCUCACUGGAUUCCUCAAAUGUCACAGACGUUUCUAAAGGACAAAGACACUGAAGGAAAAGUACUCAGUAUCUUCUGAGAGAAAACAAACAAGGAAAGCUGCAAUGUCUGGAUGAUCUUCAAAAAGAGAAGUUUUGAACAAGAAAACAUGUUGAUGUAAUAUUUUAUCCAUUUUCAAUGUAAUCUAUC